rnacentral:rRNA from 1 species
UACGUAGGGGGCUAGCGUUGUCCGGAAUCAUUGGGCGUAAAGAGCGUGUAGGCGGCUCAGUAAGUCAGGUGUGAAAACUCCAAGCUCAACCUGGAGACGCCACCUGAUACUGCUGUGGCUAGAGUCCGGUAGGGGAGCAUGGAAUUCCUGGUGUAGCGGUGAAAUGCGCAGAUAUCAGGAGGAACACCAGUGGCGAAGGCGGUGCUCUGGGCCGGAACUGACGCUGAGGAGCGAAAGCGUGGGGAGCAAACAGG